rnacentral:rRNA from 1 species
ACCAUAUCACGCUGAAACACCGGUUCUCGUUCGAUCACCGAAGUUAAGCAUCGUAGAGUCAGGUCAGUACUUAGAUGGGGGACCGCUUGGGAACACCUGGUACUGUAAG